AAAGGAGGAAGAGGGGAGAAGAGGGGAAGACAGGUUCUUUUCUCUUCAACCAGGGAAAACGGAAAGGGAGAGAAGAGGGGAAGAAAAAUGGAAAAUCGAAAGAAAAAGAGAAGGUUCGAGAAGAUCGGAAGCCUAUAAGAAGGGAAAUCAAAGGAAGAAUGCGGGGGGUUUUUCUUUUGUUUUUUUCUUAGGGAAGCCGAAGGCGAUUUUAGGGAAGAGAGUGAGAGAAUAGGUGUUGAGAGUUCAGGUUCUGCUUUCUCUUUUCUUCUUCUGUUUUGUUCACGGUGCUCGCUCAGCGGCGAGAUUUCUUGAUUUUGACUAUGAGAGAGGGAGAGUGAAGUCCGUCCGAAUUGCUUCCUUUUUCUCUUCUCUGUGCACUGAUUAUAGAGAGAGGGGUAGAUCGGUGCUGUUCUUCUUUGGCCCGAGCUAUCGUCUUUCCCACCUUGCAACCCCGAUCUCAUGCUGAGACACUCAAUCGGAAAUGGUGACUGUUUAUUGAUGCAUCUUAAAGCUUCCAAACCCAAGGGCGACCUAUUUCAAAGCUAGAGCGCCUAUCGGGCAGAUCGAAGGAUUCCUGAUCCAAGAAUCGAUCAAGAAAAAAAAAUUAAAAUAAAAGAAAACACUCGACCGUUCAUCCGAAAUCCUUCAUCGCAGGAGCCUCGGGUCGCUGCAGAUUUAGUAUCAAUCUUCAUUUGGCUCUGUUACUUUCGUGCCCCAACCCGGUCUAUUUUGAACUGUUGUGAUAGGUCUCGGACCGGAGAUCGGAAGUACAGUCGGGUUUUGGCUUGCGGUCGCUCAUUGCCCAAUGGGGAGAGAUGAUCCCACAUGUUCAUGCAUCACAUGCCAGUCUAACUAGAGGGGGUUUGUACCUUUUGAUCCCAUACGGUAAGUGACCCGACUCCCCGCACAUGAAUCCCGGCCCAUACCAAUGUUGUCGAAAGGCCAUGAGCACAGCCGAGGGCAACUACCUGUGCAAGGCCAAUUGGUGGACAACAAGCAGUCAAGACAGCAAGAUAGCAAACUGUCAUGACCAUCGGAAACAAGCCACCGAAAGCACUGGGCCUGAAUCCGGUGGAGUGUUUCCGGUGAGCCAAACAUGCUGCUGUCAAUGUUUUGAUGCAUGUGGGUCCCACCACUCGCAUCAUAUAUAGCCUCGGAUGAUCCCAAAUCAUACUCUACAUCUUCCUCGUGACGUGAGCACAUUGCGGACCUAAGUGGUCAGGUUCUCGGGCUCUGAAAGUCGUAUUAACCCGAUCGGUCCAAAUAGGGUUCAACCAAACGGACCCUAAGGCUCAACUUAACACAUAAAUUAGAAAUGAGGAUUUCACUUUCUUAUUUCGCAUUGUGCGCAAACGUGGGAGAGGAGAGGAGAGGAGAGGAGAGGAGAGAAGGAGGAGAAGAAGAGGAAGAAGGAGGAGAAGAAGAGGAAGGAGGGAAGAACAUACCUUGGUCCUGGCUGCCGCAUCGUUGCAGGAAAUCUCUGCCGGAGGACAACGACGUACACGUGCCCCAAAGUCGGAAUUGAGUUGAUCGAUCGGUGGCCGUACGUGAACCCUAACACACAAGAACAUAAGCCAGAUGAUGAUGCAGGUAUGGUCAUGCCUAUGGCUAGUGACUCUCUUUCCUCCAGACAUGAAUACGGAGAGAGUGCCUAGUGGAUGUCGGAAGCGGAGGAGAAUGGCCAGGACUGUGCUUGUGAUUUUUAUGCAUACGCGGUACCAUGAGUUGUUCGGCGUAUUUUUUGUGAUUUUGAUACCAGCCUAUGUGUGCAGUAAGACGACGCUCAUUGUUAAUCCACCAGCUAUAUUUUCGCAGCAGUCCCCAGGCAAUGGAAGUUGAGCAAGCAGACACUGCUGGUAUGGUUGAGAACCAGUCAGUCGAGGAUCCUUCAUCGUCGAAAGUCACAAUCACAUGGGAGAUUAAGAGAUUUUCUAGUUUGAAGCUUUCUAAGUUGAAAAAGGAGCACUACUCUGAUAUUUUAUCCAUCGGAGGUUACAAGUGGCGUGUGGUCAUUUGUUUAAACAAAGCGGAUUAUUUGUCACUAUACCUAUAUGUUGCAAAUUCAGAGGAUCUGCCUUAUAGAUGGAGUAGAUGGACUAAAUUCAGCUUGGCCGUGAUUAAUCAAUCAGAUAGGAAACGCACAGUUAAAUAUGAGACACAAUGCCUGUUUAAUGCUCAAAAGACUAAGUGCGGUUUUCCGUGGUUCAUGCUGCUGAGUGAAAUAUGUGACACUGAUGGAGGAUAUAAUGUGGAGAACACAGUUAAAGUGGAAGUUGAGGUUGCUGUGAAGGCUAUAGAUUAUUUGUCAUAUGAUUCGAAAAAGGAGACAGGUUAUGUUGGAUUUGAGAACCAUGAGAACCAAACUGCACCCCAUUACAUGAAUUCUCUCCUCCAGACUUUGUACCAUAUCCCCAAGUUUAGAAAGGCUGUGUAUAAUAUUCCAACAAUCCUGAAUGCUAUGCCAUCUUGGAGCAUCCCUCGGGUUCUGCAGAGCUUAUUCUAUAUGCUUCAAUACAGUAACAAUAGUGUUGUGACAAGAAGGCUGUACCAUUCCUUGGACUGGGACACGGAUGUUCAACAUGAUGCACUGCAACAUAGCAUGUCUAUUUGUGGAAGUCUAGAAAAUAAAAUGAAGGGAACUGCUAUGGAGGGUAGUAUUCGAUGGUUGUUUGAAGGUUACAGUACGAGUUACAUUAAAUGCAUCAAUGUGGACCUCCGUGUUAACGAAGUGGAGUCAUUUCUCGGUCUUCGUAUUGAUGUCGGCUGUCAAGACGUCUAUGCUUUUUUUGAUAAGUAUGUGAAAGAUGAACGCCUUGAGGGUGAUAACAAAUACAUGACUGUGCGACAUGGACCACAGGAUGCUACAAAGAAGGUCCUGUUCAAGAGCUUCCCUCCUGUCCUUCAGCUUCAGCUAAAUUGGUUCGAGUAUGAUUCUUGUGGGUACCAUAUAGGCAAGAGAAAUGGCCGUUUUGAGUAUCCUUUGAUAUUGGACCUUGAUCGAGAUAAUGGAAAGUAUUUAUCACCUGAAGCAGAUCAAACAGUACGCAACCUUUAUACACUUCACAGCGUUUUAGUUUGUGGUGAUGGGGUGGGGGAUGAACAUAAUUAUGCUUUUAUCAGGCCAACCCUCUCUGAUCAAUGGUUCAAGUUUUAUGAUGAACGGGUAACCAAAGAAGAUAUGAGUAGGGCCUUGGAAGAGCAGUAUGGUGGUGAGGAAAAGGCUAAUCCUGGCUUCAGUAACACUCCGUUUGAAUUUUCAAGAUACUCUUGUGCCUACAUGCUUGUGUAUAUACGUGAAAGUGACAAGGAGGAAAUAUUUUGUGACGUGGCUGAGGAGGACAUGGCUGAAAUUCUUAAGAUAAGGUUGAAGAAAGAAAAAGAACAGGAGGAAAAGGAGCACCGGAAAAGGGAAAAGGAAGAGGCUCACCUUUAUACAGUCAUAAAGGUUGCACGAAAUGAGGAUCUCAUAGAGCAGAUUGGGAGAGAUGUUUAUUAUGGUCUUGUUGAUCAUGAUAAAGUCCAGAGCUUCCAUAUUCAAAAUUCAACGCCUUUUUUCUUUUUCAAGGAGCAGUUUGCUAGAGAUAAUGGCUUUGCAGUGGAGUUCCUGUGCUUUUGGCUGUGGACCAAGGGUCGAAAUGGUACUUAUGGUCCAAGAAAGCGAUUGACUUGUUUUGAUGAGAAUAAAUCCGUCGCAAAGUUGAGGAAGCUUUCAAAUAGAAUGCAUAAUGGAGAACUUAAAUUAUUCUUCGAAGUAAAGCUUGUGCCGGUGCCGACUUACUUUCUUGUUACUGACUUGAGCAAGGGAGAAGACGAUAUUCUGCUGUUCUUCAAGCUAUAUUGCCCUGAGAGAAAAGAGUUCCGGUAUGUUGGAAAGCUAUCUGUUAAGGCUAUGGGUAAGCCUGUGGAUAUCCUGACAGAACUAAAUGAAAUGGCUUGCUUUGACCCUUAUCAAGAAAUUGUACUUUACAAGGAAAUUGAAUUCAAGUGUGAAGACAUUGACAAUGAACUCACUUUUCGUUCUAGCCAGAUUGAGAAUGGGGACAUUAUUUGUUUUCAGAAGAAGUUUAAGCCUGCUGUUUAUGGCAUUCAUGAACACGUCCCAUCAUGUCCUACUGUUAGAUCAUUUUUGGAAAAUGUACAUUAUCGCCAGGUUGUGUAUUUCCAAUGUCUCGAUAAACCAAAUGGGAAAGCUUUUUUUCUGGAGCUGUCAAAGCUGUCCACAUAUGAUAUCACUGUCAGAAGAGUUGCUCAGUUUAUUGGUUUGGAUGAUCCAUACAAAAUUAGACUCACGAUCCAGAAUUGUUUAUCUGAGCAGCCUUUUUCCGUUCCAAUUGAUCACCAGCGGGUAAAGCAUUUAUCAGACAUGCUGGUCUACAGCGGUCAUGCUUCAGAUAUGUUGUAUUAUGAAGUAUUGGCUACCCCUCUUCCAAAAUUGAAUGAUCUGAAAACUCUGAAGUUUGCUUUUCAUUCAACCGUAAAGGAUAAGGUGGUCUUUCAUAGUGUGACACUUCCAAAACGCUACAGGGUAGCAGAUUUAUUUUGUCACUUGAUAGAUAAGGUUAAGCUUUGUCAUUCCAAUGCAAGACUCAGGUUACUUGAUGUUUCCGAUCACAAGAUCUCUGUGAUCUUUCACCUGUGGGAAGAAAUAGGGGACAUAGAUGAUAAGCAGCUGUUACGAGUUGAGGAGAUUCCUGAAGAAGAGAGAAACUGUGGUCCUCAGGAUUGCUUGAUUCAUGUUUUUCACUUCAGAAAGGAUACCUCCCAAUUCCUGAUGUACUUUGGAGACCCUUUUUGCUUGAUCAUUCACGAAGGCGAGACUUUAGCCAAAAUUAAACUGCGUAUACAGAAGAAAUUGCAAGUUCCUGACGACAAGUUUGUUAAGUGGAAGUUUGCAGUUGUUCAAUUCAAUCGUCCCAAGUAUCUUGAAGAUUCUGCCAUUGUAUCUAGUUAUUUUCAGGACGGACGUACACGUGGAGUUUCAAAGCCACAUCUUGGACUGGAGCGCCCUUUUAGUGAUUUUAUAAUGUCUUUAGCGCCCAAUAAGAACCGUAUUACAUGUGAGAUAGUGGAAGGGGUGGAACCUUCGAAGGGUGCUGAUGACCGCCGAUUCACCAGCGGUGGAGCAAAGAGACGUCGCAUAAGUGCUACUGGACGUUCUUAAUGGAUCCAGGUGUUUUCUCCUUCAAGUAGCUCCUUACAUAUCAACCUACCAAAUUUCAACUUCAAAUUAUGAUUACUUGAUGACGAGAAACAUUUAUGAAGGAAGUGUGAAGGCUUUACCAUCUGGAGCAAAAGAUGCAUUGCAGUGGAAGUGGCGGUGAAGGAAGUCUGGAGCAAUUCUGAAGUCCCAAGUAACUUUACUUUUGACUUAACCAUUACCUCAUGUCUUCAUAGCCGUUAGGUGUGGAACCUUUAUUUUUUGAUGUGUACAAAUUUAUGCAACUCCUAAUUUUUUGUUGUAGACCUACUAACGAGGUAGUGGUUUUUUUGGCUAAGCUUGCUUACAUGACCAUGCACAACAAAAAGCAACUAUAUGUGGAUAAUCCUUAACUAUGUAAUUUGGUCACUCUUUUUUGAUUUCUAGUUUCUUUGUUGCUUUGAUUAGAAAAAAAAGAAGAAAAAAAGCAUUGGUUUGUU